UACGUAGGCAGCAAGCGUUGUUCGGAGUUACUGGGCGUAAAGGGUGUGUAGGCGGUUCUUUAAGUUUGGUGUGAAAUCUCCCGGCUCAACCGGGAGGGUGCGCCGAAUACUGAGGAGCUAGAGUGCGGGAGAGGAAAGUGGAAUUCCUGGUGUAGCGGUGAAAUGCGUAGAUAUCAGGAGGAACACCGGUGGUGUAGACGGCUUUCUGGACCGUAACUGACGCUGAGACACGGAAAGCGUGGGUAGCAAACAGG
rnacentral:rRNA from 1 species